rnacentral:miRNA from 1 species
GGCUGAGUCAGAGGCACAGAAUUAGGCCCGCUGGAACCUGGGGGUAGGGUCUGUUCUGUAUCCUUCCGUCAGCCUGGC